rnacentral:rRNA from 1 species
UACGUAGGCAGCAAGCGUUGUUCGGAGUUACUGGGCGUAAAGGGUGUGUAGGCGGUUCUUUAAGUUUGGUGUGAAAUCUCCCGGCUCAACUGGGAGGGUGCGCCGAAAACUGAAGGGCUAGAGUGCGGGAGAGGAGAGUGGAAUUCCUGGUGUAGCGGUGAAAUGCGUAGAUAUCAGGAGGAACACCGGUGGUGUAGACGGCUCUCUGGACCGUAACUGACGCUGAGACACGAAAGCGUGGGUAGCAAACAGG